UACGUAGGGUGCAAGCGUUGUCCGGAAUUAUUGGGCGUAAAGAGCUCGUAGGCGGUUUGUCGCGUCUGCUGUGAAAACCCGAGGCUCAACCUCGGGCCUGCAGUCGAUACGGGCAGGCUAGAGUUCGGUAGGGGAGACUGGAAUUCCUGGUGUAGCGGUGAAAUGCGCAGAUAUCAGGAGGAACACCGGUGGCGAAGGCGGGUCUCUGGGCCGAAACUGACGCUGAGGAGCGAAAGCGUGGGGAGCAAACAGG
rnacentral:rRNA from 1 species